rnacentral:misc_RNA from 1 species
ACGAGUUAGGGUCUUCUAGGCCCGACCUCCCAACCCUUUGUUUAUUGAACCAAUGUUGCUUCGGUGGGUCCGUCUAACGACCGCCGGGGGACUGCCGCGAGGCACCCCCUAGCCCGUACCCGCCGAUAGCCCAACUUAAACCCUUUAUGAAUCGUGUCUUAUGUCUAAAUCAUGAUUAAAAAUCAAAUUAAAACUUUCAACAACGGAUCUCUUGGUUCUGGCAUCGAUGAAGAACGCAGCGAAAUGCGAUAAGUAAUGCGAAUUGCAGAAUUCCAGUGAGUCAUCGAAUCUUUGAACGCACAUUGCGCCCUUUGGUAUUCCGAAGGGCAUGCCUGUUCGAGCGUCAUUAUCACCCCUCAAGCCCCGUGCUUGGUGUUGGACGGUUGGUCGAGGUCCCCUCGACCCCUCCUAAAGACAAUGACGGCGGCCUGUGGUUCCCCCGGUACAAUGAGCUUCUCACCGAGCACGUACCGGACGAGGGCGCCCAGGACCCGGUCUUCUCCUCUCGCGAGGAAAUAUUUUUAAG